AAUUAUUUAAUUCAUUCUCUUAACUGAUUCAUAGCAAGCUGCAAAAAGUUACCUCUCAGGCUACGUUUGAAGUUAUGUCUACUGCUUAUAUCAAACACUGAAGUUAAUUGUCAGCAAAAUCCUUGUAGAAAUACCAUUGGUAGUGUGCAAAGUAAGAAUGUCUUAUUGGAUCACCUGUUUUGCCAGGAGUUGGUGAGGGUAUGCACAUAGACUAAGUGUUUGGUUACUUGCAAAAUGUUCUUCCAUACCAGCACAGCUGAAGACUCAGAGUGAAGGAAGAGUGGAGGAAGGUGAGGUCAGAGGAAAAGGUAGGUCUCACCUAAGCUUGGGAUAGACUUCAGGAAAACUGCAUGCCAGUUCUUAAUGCAGUCUUCAAGAGUAAACUCCUGGUAAACCUCCUCCACGUUCAGAUGGAGCCAGUUGAAUCCAGGUCGGCUUUUGGAUCGACACCUUCUCCCUCCCAGUGAGAUAUAGCUCUCUGUGCUGCCCAGCAGCAUUUGGUACAUUUAUAAGGCCAUUUGUGAUAGUACUGUUAUUUUGAGAAUGUUAUGGAGUGGCUGUGUGCUGGGUGGCUGCUGCAGCCAGACACAGCACCAGGAAAGAGAAGGAACAGACUGCAGCAUGGCCAUGCUUGGGAGCAGAAGCAAGGCUUGGCAAGAUCUGCACUGAUAGGCCAUGCUGAGGAUGUGGUUGCUCCAGUGUCCUAAAGCAGGGAUUCCAAGCUCCUGCUUCCCAGGGGGAGGAUAGUGAAGCCUUCUACAUGUAGCAAAUAACCACAGCAGCAGACUGCUGGAGUGCCAGAAGCAGCAACAAAGCGCAUCUGACUGCUCCUGCUGAUUUGUCAACGGUAACUAACCCGAGGUGUGUUCUGGGGGUCAAUACAUCUCUGACAGAGCUGUUCUGCCACCAGUACCUGUGCUGGUGGAUGUUCAACAUGGGGCUGAACGCAGCUGUUGUCACAGACCAUGUGGAUGGUGACCAAUGUCCUAUGUGUGCUACUAAAACAGUAACAAGGAGGGAGCUUACUGUAGAUACAAGAGGUUCACAGCUCUUAAUUCUCUUCCACUUAGCAAUAUUACAGUGCAUUCCCCAUAUUAGUGGUCCUAGGCGGCCCAGAGUACAUACAAAUAUGGGAGAGGUCAUCUUGCUUCUGAAGUAAAGCAUAUAGCUUUCCAUAUAAAGGAAAUGUGUGGUUAAAACAGCAACAACAAAAAAUCUUACUUCUGUGCUUGUUAAUGUUUUCACAGCAGUUGAGCAUAUCUGAUUACUCUUACCAGUUUUAGUUUAUCUAGUUUGGUGGUCAAAAUGAGCCUGAUGGAAAGGGAUGUACUAUUCCCUAUCACGUUCUAAACUAUAUCAACCCAGUGAGUUUAAGUGUCUCUGUAAAAUCUGAAGCUGGAAACAUAAAUGCUUGCUUUAUCUAAAAUACAAAGAAUGCAGCUCAGCCUGUUAGUGGACUAGACUCAGAAUAACCUCCCAGACAACAUGGCAGAGUUUUGGAAAGUUUGUGUACAUGCUAUGUUGUAGAUUUCUUUAAAGAUUAAGAACACAUUAAAGAUAAAGAACACAUUUCUAUAGGUUUUUGCAGAAAGAUAAGGUGCCUUUGUUUAAAAAAAAUUAUAAUAAUAAAAAAAAUGUAUAAGAUG
ensembl:lncRNA